rnacentral:rRNA from 1 species
ACGCUCGACACCUACGGGAGGCAGCAGUGAGGAAUAUUGGUCAAUGGGCGCAGGCCUGAACCAGCCAAGUAGCGUGAAGGAUGACUGCCCUAUGGGUCGUAAACUUCUUUUAUAUGGGAAUAAAGUUUUCCACGUGUGGAAUUUUGUAUGUACCAUAUGAAUAAGGAUCGGCUAACUCCGUGCCAGUAGCCGCGGUAAUCUGAGGCGGGCUGGCAAGGC